rnacentral:rRNA from 10 species
CCUGCGGAGGAUCAUUA